GACAAAUGCAUCACUGGAGUGGUCUUGGCAAUAAUAGCCCGAUGCACUGACAAUGGAAUUGGGGAUUAUAAUCCAAUCUUUUUUAAACGUCACACAUCACCAAAGCACGGCACACAGUGAAUUUAACUUUCUGAAUUCAACCCAUUAGAGCAGUAGGCAGCUACCAGCACCUGGGGAGCUCAAGGGCACCUCGGUGACAGUCCUGUUGAGUCUAUAGAGACAGUUCACACAAACAUAUGAACAUACUGCACUUUCAGCAGUUGUGGUUUUGCAACACACACACUUUCAGUUCAGCUUCUUAAAACUUUCGAUGAUAAUUAUUUCCUAAAAUGACUUUCACUUCCUAAUUAAAAAUUCACCAGAAUUUGUAGCCUGGACUGGUUAAAGGAUAAAAAACACUACCAUUAUAGAAUAGAAUAGAAUCGGAGGAUGAAACCCUCUUUAUGUGGCACAUACAUGCACACAGCAGAGCACACACAGUGAAAUUGGUCCUCUACAUUUAACCCAUUCUUAUAACUAUUCAAUUUCAAUUGAAAAAAAACAAUAUUUUGUUAAUAAAGUAAGAAACACAAGUUUGACAAAUAGUGUAUUGAUUUGAGUUUUUCUUACCAAUCUAACGCUCAAAUGACCAUUCACAACACUAAAGGUGAAAGGUCAAAGGGCCAGCUGAAGCUGUGUUGAGCACAGCAUGGAGAAAUACAUUUUGAGCUUAUGUGGUGUUUUUGUGUUUGCUCAUAGUAUCUUAACAAUUACAAUGUGUGGAUGAAUAAGGGAACGCAUUUGCAUUGGAGUUGACACUGGAGGGGACUUCUAAAGAGAUCUCAGAGACAUCAUGGGAGAUAAAGAAGAUUCCAGAUACUAUUCCAGAGAGAACUUUUUACCAGUACCAGAUGAGAAGGCCAUCCAACAAGAUACCAAACCUGUUGCCUGCAGUAAGAAUGCUGUGAAUGAAAGGACACCUACAUCACAUGCGCCUUUCAGACUGUCAUCGCGGUGACCUUUGCCUGUCCGUCAAUCUGUCACCUAUUUGUACAGUUGCACCCUGUUCCUGUAUCCCAGUAAAGGUGUCCUCAAGAGGAGGUCAAGGCUUGUCAAUUAUAUUUUCAUUUACACCUGUAAAACACCUAGGAUUGUGCUUCUUUCACCUGAGUCAUGUUAACUAUAUUAUUAGCAUUGCUUGUGUGAUGGAACUUGUAUGAUCUUUAAUGGUUCCAAGGUGAUGAAUCGUGUUCAUCCUUUGACCCUUAGCUUCCUUUGGCAGUACAUUAAAGUAAACAUUUCAAACUGCCCAAUAUGAUAUUUUUUGAUAUAAAUACAUGCAAACUAACAAGCCAAUGAACCUAAAUGAUUUUUUUGUGUUCAGUGCUAUAAGCAAA